rnacentral:rRNA from 1 species
GACGAACGCUGGCGGCGUGCUUAACACAUGCAAGUCGAACGGAAAGGCCCUGCUUUUGUGGGGUGCUCGAGUGGCGAACGGGUGAGUAACACGUGAGUAACCUGCCCUUGACUUUGGGAUAACUUCAGGAAACUGGGGCUAAUACCGGAUAGGAGCUCCUGCUGCAUGGUGGGGGUUGGAAAGUUUCGGCGGUUGGGGAUGGACUCGCGGCUUAUCAGCUUGUUGGUGGGGUAGUGGCUUACCAAGGCUUUGACGGGUAGCCGGCCUGAGAGGGUGACCGGCCACAUUGGGACUGCGAUACGGCCCAGACUCCUACGGGAGGCAGCAGUGGGGAGUAUUGCUCAGUGGGCGGAAGCCUGAUGCAGCAACGCCGCGUGCGGGAUGACGGCCUUCGGGUUGUAAACCGCUUUCGCCUGUGACGAAGCGUGAGUGACGGUAAUGGGUAAAGAAGCACCGGCUAACUACGUG